rnacentral:rRNA from 1 species
UGCGUAACGCGUAUGCAACCUACCCUUAACUGGAGAAUAGCCCAGAGAAAUUUGGAUUAAUACUCCAUAGUAUUACAGAUUCGCAUGUUUUUGUAAUUAAAGUUUUUACGGUUAAGGAUGGGCAUGCGUGACAUUAGCUUGUUGGUGAGGUAACGGCUCACCAAGGCUACGAUGUCUAGGGGUUCUGAGAGGAUGAUCCCCCACACUGGUACUGAGACACGGACCAGACUCC